UGCAAGUUGCCAAUGUUGAUGAUUGCGCGUAUCACUUUUUAAUUCAAUAUAUUUGGAAUCGAAUGACAUGCGCACAGUUUUAGGAAACAUUCAAAGAUUGAAAAGAACUUUUAAUCAAGCGCUAUGCUAGUAAAGAGACUAGAAAACAUUUAUUGGUUGGAAGAAUAGAUAAAACCUCAAGUGCCUACAGUUUGUGCAGUCUCGCCCUUUCUGAUUUUGAGAGCCUGAGAGAACACGUCUGAUAAACUAAUUGAAUUCAGUUAAAUUAUUAAAGCCAUAUUCUACAGCGAAUUGGAAAGACGUAACAGGGAGAAUAUGACACUUAUUGUCCAAGAAUACCAAACUUAUCCAAGCACGUUGAAAAAGUAAAAAAUAAAAGGAAAGUCAUGUUAUUCAUGAAUUGACACUUUCAAAAAACGUUAUUGUCUUCUUGACUGUCUCUUUUAAUUGGAUAUGGCUAUAGACAUAGUAUUUAGAUGUCCAUGCAAACAAUUUACCAUGGAAACUAUAUUUAAAUAUUUUCCUACUACAGUCUACAUGCAGGUGGCAAUUAAUUUUGGAUCUUUUCUUGACAUUUGACAUGAGAAGAAAUCUUGCAGUUGAAACGUAAGGAACAGUAAACUUUGCUGCAUGAAACAGUGAAUGUCACAAUUUAGAUAAGCAGAAAGGAUAUCAAAAUAUUUAAUGUGUACUGCUCUAUUUGUUCGAAACAGCUGAUGAUUUCAAUUCAAUGUAAUUUACAACGGUGUUCUUUAUAUUGCCGACGAUGUUAAUACAGAUUAUGCAUAAUUAGCUAGAGAUAGCUGUAAAAUUUGAGUUUUGCACGUAUCAUGAAGAAAUCAAUAAAAUCAACUUUCGUAUGUCUUAAAUGGGUUGCACUGCAUCAGUAAAGAAGAGUGAAUCGAAUAAACAAAACAACAUCAAAGGUAUUAUUUUAUCUUCAGUAAUUUUAUUCAUAUGACAAAUAUAUUACAUUUGCAACUCGAAGUAAAUCUAGAUUCUAGAAUUAAAAAAAUGUCAAUCUAUAUUUUAGCUUUAAAAGCGGCUAUUUUAAUCCAAACAUGGUUUAGACGCCAUCAAGCCAGACUUGAGGCUCGUAGGAGAUGUUCAUGGAAAAUAUUUCAAGCGUUGGAAUACUCUGGAGAAAUAGAUCAUGUUAAGGUUUGAUGAAAUAACAAACAUUGUAAAUACAGGCGCUAAAUUAACAGUACACGAAUAACAUAAAUAUACGAGUAGCGUUACGUAACAUGUAGCUAUAGUAAGCAUUAUGGUUUCAAGGUAUUAGUUAUAGCACAAUAUUAAGAAACCAUUAUAGGGUUCGUUCGUUCCAUGUUAAGUAAAUGUUGUUUACACACCUAUAAGCUAAACGUUGGAUCGCGAUAUUUAACUGCAAUAACCUAAGUUAACAAAGUUUAAUUGAAACGUUUCAACAACUAUAUACUCAUACUGAAGUGCUGCUAUUUCAAUAAUUAUUUUACACUUUUCACGACUGUUCCUUUCUUGCAUUGUUCUUGUUUUAACGCGUGUUUAGUAUCCUUGAUAAGACGCCUCAAUACUCUGAAUUUGGUUAUGCCCAACAUUAAAAUCUACAACUCAGUUGUUCACAACUUCGAGAACAGUCAUUGUUCCCAAGGCCAAGUUUAAGAUUUUAAGCGGUUUCUCAGCGGUUCGCUUUACAUGGCGUGAUAAUGUACAAUUGUUUUGCUUUUUUGGUAAACAUCUCGUUUAUUGAUUUAUUUGGCCGACAGCUUACGAUCGAUGCAUGAGUUUGGAUCUUCAUUGAAGACUGUCAAUGUGAUGUUAAAUGGUCUAUGACUAUGUAGGUAUAGAGAUGAGAACAAGCCAACUCAAACAGCAAAAGGGCCUUCGCUCAAAACGUCGAAGUUUUGCUUAUAUUUUCAGGAAUAUUGUGGCUUAGGGAUUAGCCCGAGUAUAUCAGGCCGGAUACUACUUACAGAUGAAGAUAGAUAGAUUAUUUAAUAAGA